CCUUCCUGUACGGUGUGUGGAUUACUACAGUUAUUUUCUAUCUUUGGAAUUGCCAGAAUCCAGGAGUUGUAAGCCUUUCAAGCUGAAGCAUCACAGGGAGAAGUUCUAAAGUGACUCAAGGAUGGAUGCAGAAAAUCCUCUGAUGGCAUAUGGCGACAUCUGAACGGCCGACUGGUGGCACCUGCCUCUUUGCUACCUUACCUAGUAAGGGCAUAUCAUCUACCAACCCAUACAGGAGACUCCUCAAAACUUUGCAGCAAUAUCAUCGAACAGUAAGAGCAGCGUCACCAAAGCCUCCUGACCAACCUUACCACCAACUACAACCAGGUGAUUGGGUUUACGUAAAAACUUUUCAGAGGAAAAACUGCCUGAGCCCGAGGUGGAAGGGGCCUUUCCAGGUCCUACUCACAACUGUGACUGCAGUUCACUGUGCAGGACUACCAACGUGAAUCCAUUCAUCUCAUUGCAAGAAGACCUGUCUUGUGGGG